AUUGCACGCUGGCGGCAGGCUUCACACCUGCAAGUCGAGCGAGCGGCGGACGGGUGAGUAAUGUCUUGGAAACUGCCUGAUUGCGGGGGAUAACUACUGGAACCGGUAGCUAAUACCGCAUACCAUCAGAUGUGCCCAGAUGGGAUUAGCUAGUAGGUGGGGUAAUGGCUCACCUAGGCGACGAUCCCUAGCUGUUCUGAGAGGAUGACCAGCCACACUGGAACUGAUACACGGUCCAGACUCCUACGGGAGGCAGCAGUGGGGAAUAUUGCACAAUGGGCGCAAGCCUGAUGCAGCCAUGCCGCGUGUGUGAAGAAGGCCUUCGGGUGGUAAAGCACGUUCAGCGAGGAGGCGUUACUCGCAGAAGAAGCACCGGCUAACUCCGUGCCAGCAGCCGCGGUAAUUC
rnacentral:rRNA from 1 species